ensembl:lncRNA
UUUAUUGACUGUAAUGUAUUACACUAAAAAUUCUCUAACUAACCAGGGACGUGCAGAGAGGAGGUGGAAGCGGCUUGAGCACUUGACCUGCCCCUUUCCUGGUCAGCGCCCAAAGACCCCUUGUCUUGAGUCUCAGAUCAACACAGCCCUGCCCUCCAGCACUAUCAGCAGCAGCAGAAACCCCUCAACAACAUUGUACCCAUCAGGUAACACAUAGGGAUGCAGCAGCAGACUGAACCUCGACUGAAACCUGCUCCAUCAUCUCAUCUUUGCAGAUGUCCAUUUAUAAAGCAUCAACAACUCAAAGGAGCCGUCCUCAGAUUCAGACCUCAGCACCACCCAGUGACAGCAGACAGACCAUCCUAUAUCUUCAGUCUUUGUAGUAACUCCAAAAUUAACUGAAGAAAACAGUACAAGGGUUAAAGUACCACAUGUGCUGUCAGUGAAAGCUGCAGCUGUUUUAUUGAUAAAUUUAAAGACAAAAAGUCAAAAGGAUUAAUCACCCCUGUAACUGUGUCACAAUACAUCAGCAUUAACAGGACCUCAGUUAGGUGUUUCAGAAAACUGCUGAUCUCAGACCUGCACAACUUCUGUU